rnacentral:lncRNA from 1 species
GUCAAUUAAGCAAAACUAGGAAUGUGCCUAUGCCGGUGAUCGGAUGGGAACACACACAUGUAUAAUUUAUAUAAUUGCUUAUAUUUCUAUAAAAAAUAAGAUGAAAAAGAAAGCCAAUGAACCAGCCAAAAUUAAAAAGAUAUUACUCACAAAUAUUAUAACUAUCCACUGAAAGUUAUAUUUAUGUUCCAACGAUUCAUACCUUAUCGAUUUUAAUUUAUUUUGACAUGGCUUGUAUUAGCCAUUUCCUUUCAUUUAUUGUACAAUAUAGUUUUUUAAUUUUAAGAAUCUAGAACCAAUAUAAUUGUCUCAGCCUUCUAUCGAAUACUCGUCGAAGAUUUAAUUGUUUGGUCUAUUUUUUUCAUUACAUGGCCAAAUUCUAUCUGUUCGGCUUUGAUCUCCAAUUAUUUAUAAUUUCUCAGUUGAACUCUACCCAAUAUAAAUAAGAAUUACGCGAUAUAAUUUCUCAGUUGAACUCUACCCAAUAUAAAUAAGAAUUACGUGAUUCAUAUCUAUUUUGAUUUUAUCGCUAAAAUUAGCAUAGUAUUUAAUGAAAAAUUUUAAAAUACCUAAGUGAAUGAAAGAUCGCAGCGAUGCUCUGGCUAAAAUAUUGUGGACUAAUUUUCCGUUGGUGCGUCGCAAUGCGACGGCGACAGCCGGUCGAAAAUUAUUUCGGUGGGUGGAGCGAGAGAUUUGGGUGUAUGUACGGUUUAACCCACCAAAAUGGUUGAUAUCACGUGAGUUGUGAAAUUCUCGUAGCAAGUGGCUGUAUUUUAUUUGCGCUGAAAGGUUGGAGGUGGGGCCGGUAACGGGAAAAAGCCGGCCAAAAUACUCUUUGGUCCGGGUGCGAUCUAAAUUUUUCAAACUGGACGGUGGGUCUGGUUCAGUGAUGAGAAACGUGGCCUACGAGACAGCUGAAUUAAUAAAACAUCGUACGCCUACCGAAGUUAUUUUUAAUCUGAUUUGGACCACCCCUUGCCUAACUGAACCUCACUGAAGUUUGGUCUGGCAUUGCCGCAUGGGGCCAGGUAUGUUCCCUACCUCCAUCUCUAUAUUUUUUUGUGCUGGUAGUCCAAA